AUUCAUAUUGAAUCAAUUUGGACUGUCUGACUUUGGUUUACCUAUUGCCUUGCAGUGCCUGGCAGCACUGUGUUCCUGUUAGAGCCACCAGCACAAGCACCAGACGAUGCUGAUCCAGGUGAAGGCCCCAGUGCAGCAGCAACAGCACAUGAUGGAGACGAUGAUGAGGAGGAGACCAUCUCUCUGGAUUCCAGAAGGCAUGAGGUAUCAUGUUAAGACUGUGAAAGUACUAUUUACUCUACAAUGGUGAGGAGUCCUCAUCAAAAUCAAAAAAUCUCAUUUCUUUUACAGGACCCAGAUGCUAUACAGUGGGAAAACCAGCCUGGCAACAUAGUGCGUAUUAAUAAAAGGACACCACAUCCUGCCAAAUUCCAGCUGCGCUAAUUGUAUUGUGUUCACAGAGCUCACAAGCUAUCAGAAAGUUGUAUGGCAACCACCUCCGGCGCCAAAUAGAACUGGCAGACAUAGACAUUCAGUACAAGAAGAAAAAGAUGGAAAAUCUUGCACUGGAGUCCGAAAUAAAAAAGAGGACAAUUAGGAAACUGGACCUUGAAAUAAAAAACUUGAGAGGGAGCUCCAAGAAGAUGACACAGCUCAAAAUAAAAAUUAGGUAUAUUCUCGUAAAGUCAAGUGAGCCAUGACAUAUGAGCUCUUAUUGU